rnacentral:lncRNA from 1 species
ACGACACUUAGUGUAGUGUCUUUUUGGCUACACAAUUUGUGUACUUCAAGGCUACACUUGUGCGCUUUAAAGCCACACUUGUAAUUAUGAAAUUAAACUUCAUUAUAUGCGUAAAAAAAGCCACACUUUGUUGGAUUCUCGUAUCGAAUUAUUCGGAAAGGAGGCUAGAAUCAUGUUUUUAGCGACAUGUUUUUUUUUAUGAACCAUUUUCAGUUUUAUUAAAAAUUUUAGUGUAACUUUUAUUGCUGCAUGGUAAUUUUAAACACAUACAUAGUUAACUUUUUCAUAAAAAAAUUUUGGUUUGUAAUAUUUUAGUAAUAUCGUAUUAAAUAUGUUAAGCGAGGAAAAUAUCGAUUUUCAGUUGUUAAAAAUUAGCACCUCCACAGAAGGGCAAGAAGAGUCCAAGAAUUUGGCUUUAUUUUAUAGAGAAAUGGAUGUACACCUCAGUCUUGAAAGCUCCCUUGAGUUAUUGAAGUAGGAGAAAGUUUUUCUACUGAUUUUAUUCAAGUGUUUCAGCACUCUAUUUAUAAUUUAAAUUAUAACUAUAAUUAUAAGUCGAUAAUACAGCUAUACGGUUGGAAGCCAUACCGAGUAUUGGAUUUGCUUUUGAGUUGCUGCUAGUCUCAUGUAUUUAAUGUCAAUUUUCCUCAUGAACUUAUUUGUGUAUAUGGAUUUAUGGGAAAUUUGCUUGGAAUAAACAACAAAAGAAUUAUCGUCAAUUCCUUUUAAAUAAAGUAUUGUCAAAAGUUUAAGAUUAAAUUAAGCAAUAUGUUUGUGAAACGAAAAAGUAUUUUUAUCACUUUCUUGUUUAUUUUUGUUAUAUCGUCAGCCGAGAACCAAGAGACCGUAUGUCUUUUUUUUGUGUU